rnacentral:rRNA from 1 species
AGCGGUAGCACAGAGAAACUUGUUUCUUGGGUGACGAGCGGCGGACGGGUGAGUAACGCGUAGGAAUCUACCUAGUAGAGGGGGACAACAUGUGGAAACGCAUGCUAAUACCGCAUACGCCCUUAGGGGGAAAGGAGGGGACUUUUCGGAGCCUUCCGCUAUUAGAUGAGCCUGCGUAAGAUUAGCUAGUUGGUAGGGUAAAGGCCUACCAAGGCGACGAUCUUUAACUGGUCUGAGAGGAUGGCCAGUCACACUGGGACUGAGACACGGCCCAGACUCCUACGGGAGGCAGCAGUGGGGAAUAUUGGACAAUGGGCGCAAGCCUGAUCCAGCCAUGCCGCGUGUGUGAAGAAGGCCUUAGGGUUGUAAAGCACUUUCAGGGGUGAGGAAGGGUGACUAGUUAAUACCUAGUUAUCUUGACGUUAGCCCCAGAAGAAGCACCGGCUAACUCUGUGCCAGCAGCCGCGGUAAUACAGAGGGUGCAAGCGUUAAUCGGAAUUACUGGGCGUAAAGCGCGCGUAGGUGGUUUGUUAAGUCGGAUGUGAAAUCCCAGGGCUCAACCUUGGAAUGGCACCCGAUACUGGCUAGCUAGAGUAUGGUAGAGGGGUGUGGAAUUUCCUGUGUAGCGGUGAAAUGCGUAGAUAUAGGAAGGAACAUCAGUGGCGAAGGCGACACCCUGGACUAAUACUGACACUGAGGUGCGAAAGCGUGGGGAGCAAA